rnacentral:tRNA from 1 species
GAGAAAUUAGUUAAUUAUUAUAAUAUAGGUUUGUCAAGUCUGUGUAACUGCUUUAGUAGUAUUUCUCU